rnacentral:rRNA from 1 species
UACGUAGGUGGCGAGCGUUGUCCGGAAUUACUGGGCGUAAAGGGCGUGUAGGUGGCCUUUUAAGUCAGGCGUGAAAACCCACGGCUUAACCGUGGGCCUGCGCUUGAAACUGGGGGGCUUGAGGGCAGGAGAGGAAAGCGGAAUUCCCAGUGUAGCGGUGAAAUGCGUAGAUAUUGGGAGGAACACCAGUGGCGAAGGCGGCUUUCUGGACUGACCCUGACACUGAGGCGCGAAAGCCAGGGGAGCGAACGGG